UCUGUCUCUGUGUGUUCACUCUGUGUGUUCACUCUGUGUAUUCUCUCUCUGUGUCUCUGUGUGUUCACUCUGUGUGUUCACUCUGUGUGUCCACUCUGUGUAUUCUCUCAGUGUCUCUGUGUGUUCACUCUGUGUAUUCUCUCUCUCUCUCUUGCAGGAAGAGCUCCUUGCGGAGCUGGAGGAGAUGGAGCAGGAGGAUCUGGAGAAGGACCUGCUCUCCGUGGAGGACCAGACUCCGGCUGUCCUUCCCAGCAUUCCCAGCGACCAGCUGCCCUCCUUGCCCUCCCAGAGCAACAAGAAGCCAGCAAAAGCAGAGGAUGAAGAUGAUGAAAUGAGAGAGCUGGCAAACUGGGCUUUAUGAGGGAGAGAGAGAAAGAGACAGGGGAGAGGGAGAAAGAGACAGGGGAGAGGGAGAGCGAGACGGAGGAGAGAGAGAGAGAAAGAGACAGGGGAGAGGGAGAGGGAGAGCGAGACAGAGGAGAGAGAGAGAGAAAGAGAGAGAGAGGGUUACACUUUAUAAUUACGGUGCCUUAAGUUCUAGCUUUGUUAAUUAGGGCUGCUCUGAAACUCCUAAUCGCCAUUGAGAAGUAUUAAUUAAUUAAUUAAUUAAUUAAUUAAUUAAUUAAUUAAUUAAUUAAGCGGCCGGUAUUCAAUAAAUCCACUCAUCACCGCGUUGAUUACAAAACAAGAAAACCUGUCCUUCCCUCACCUUUACAAUCGAGUACCGAGUGGCGGUUGUAAAGGUGAGGGAAGGACAGGUUCUCUUGUUUUGUAAUCAACGCGGUGAUGAGUGGAUCACUUGAACACCUGCCGAUAAAUUAAAUAAAUAGAUCAAUAAAGGCGAUCUGGAGAUUUCAGCGCAGCCCUCGGAGUUCUCAUUUUCAAUAACAGGACCAGCCUGAUUUCUAGGUUCCCCAUUUAAACAAAAGAAUGAAUAAAUAAAAUAUCAAUGGCCCAGCUGUAAAUAUUGCAGCGUUUAUUUGAAAAGUGGUUCCCCUUUACUGAAACGGUCUGCAGAGAGUUUCAGGCGGUCGGUGUUGAAUGAAUUUUUGUUUUGGGCAAGCUGAACCCUUUCUUUAGCCCCGUGUAACAGCAAACGGGUUCAAAUGUAAAUACACGAUUUACUUGCCCUAAUCUAGCUUGCUUGCUUUCUUUCCCAAACUCUAGAAUUAAACUGACACUAGAAAUGAAAGAAAACGAAGUUACUGAAACUUAGAUUCAAUGGCUAACGUUUCCACUAGAAGUCUUUCUCAGCGUCUUCAGUGUAAAUUCAAUGGCAAACGUUUCCACUAGAAGUCUUUCUGUGUCAAUUCAAUGGUAAACGUUUCCACUAGAAGUCUUUCUGUGUCAAUUCAAUGGCAAACGUUUCCACUAGAAGUCUUUCUCAGCGUCUUCAGUGUAAAUUCAAUGGCAAACGUUUCCACUAGAAGUCUCUCUCAGCGUCUUCAGUGUCAAUUCAAUGGCAAACGUCUCCACUAGAAGUCUCUCUCAGCGUCUUCAGUGUAAAUUCACCGGCAAACGUUUCCACUAGACGUCUUUCUUAGCGAACGCGUGUCUCAGUGUGUGAUUGAGAGACCCGGACGGCUCAACGGGUCUCAGUUGAAUUCUUAGAAAGGAGAGGAGAAAAGAAAUCUGGGUACAACACCGAGAAUCAGAAGCUCUAAUUGUAAAACCUCAGGAGCCUGCCCAUUCUGUGCCGAACGCCUUUAUACCCAUUACAACGCCCCCCGUGGUGCAGAUAACACUGGAGUGUUUAACACAAGAGCUGUUUCUUUCUUUAUUAGUUUAAAAACAGGACACUGUUUUGGAUCUUUAAUUUCUAGGGAGGGGAAGGGAAGGGGAGGGGAGGGGAGGGGAGGCAGGUGGCACAGAGACAGGUAGAGAGAGACAGACAGACAGGGAGAGAGAGAGACACAGGUAGAGAGAGACAGACAGACAGGUAGAGAGAGACAGACAGACAGGGAGAGAGACACAGGUAGAGAGAGACAGACAGACAGGGAGAGACACACAGGUAGAGAGAGACAGACAGGUAGACACACAGGUAGAGAGACACAGACAGACAGGUAGACACACACAGGUAGACACACACACACACACAGACAGGUAGAGACACACAGGUAGACACACACAGAUAGACACAGACAGACAGGUAGAGAGACACAGGUAGACACAGACAGGUACAGACAUACAGGCAGGCAGACAGACACACAGAGACAGACAGGUAGAGACACACAGGUACAGACAUACAGGCAGACAGACACACAGAGACAGACAGUGCCCACACUAUGUCUUUAUAUUUGUCAGAGCCAUUUUGUGAAACACCGCAUUGGGAUCAAGUUUGUUUUGCUGGCAGUACACUAGCUGUGCACCAGAUGGCGCUGGCUCUUACUAAUAUAAAAGACACUUUGGAUGUACACCAUGUGACUGAUUCACCUGCCAUAGCACUGUCAAUAGGGUGUAGACCAUGUGACUGAUUCACCUGCCAUAGCACUGUCAAUAGGGUGUAGACCAUGUGACUGAUUCACCUGCCAUAGCACUGUCAAUAGGGUGUAGACCAUGUGACUGAUUCACCUGCCAUAGCACUGUCAAUAGGGUUUCUGAAAUGGCACAAUGUACCGUUAUCAAUACCUCUUCUAAAUUCUGUAAUAUAAAAAAUAUAAAAUAAAAUGAUAACGAUGUUGUUGUUAUUUUUAUGAUGGUAAUAAAAUCUAAUGUUAAAAAAAUAAAUUAAA